ensembl:lncRNA
GCUUUCAACUGGAACAUAAUUCUCUUGAUUAUUGGUUGGUGCUGCGACACAGUAGGGAUACAGAUAAUUGUCACUGUGCACAUGCUGCUGGAAAUGUAAAAUUAUUAUCUUUAGAGAGGUUGAGUAGGGUGUUUGAGCACGAAUGUUACGCAGCUCGGGCACGUGGAAUGUGUAGAGCACUCAUCUGUUGGCUGCCUCCCUUCCUCUGCUGGCCCGGCUCGCUGGUUCUGGGCGACACCCAGCUCCGGGAGCAUCCUGCCGGUCACUCAGUGGCGAGGAAAGGACAGCAGGGUCCUGAAGUAAGGAAAAACCCAUUCCAGAAGUGGAAGCCCAGGGGUCUGGAAAGCUGUGUUGCUCACUGCUACCACGGUGAGAGAAGCAACCUAGAAAUGGGAAACAAGAUAGAAAAACAGAAACCAAAAUCCUGAAAUCUCCACUGACAUGGACACUGAGAUCUUGUCCUCUGGAUGACAUAGCCAUCACCCUCAGGCUAACCUGCCAUCUGUGAUGAGAAGACUCCCUGAUGAAGGUGCGUCUUUCUCUCACCCCUGGUUUGAGUGUGAAUAUGAUUGCCACCAUCUUGGAUCCGAUGGAAGACACAGCACCUUGAGGAAAGUUGAACAAGAGAGAUUGCUGCUACUGUGGAUCUUCAAUGCCAGCUCCUUACUUCUUAUAUUUGGACAGGGACGUGAUUAAAU